GGGCCGUUAGCUCAGCUGGUUAGAGCGCGCCCCUGAUAAGGGCGAGGUCGGUGGUUCAAGUCCACUACGGCCCA
rnacentral:tRNA from 1 species